AUGUCUAAAUGUGGACAAUCGAUACACUAUGCAAAUGUCAGCACAAGCACAAUCUGUGACAAACCGGCCAUUUCGCAGGGCAGACGGGUGCAAAGACUGCAAAGUAGCAGCGGCAGAUCAAAUGGUGCUCGCUCAAUGGUGGCAUUUCAUAAAAUUCCCAUGUCAAACUUGCAUCACAUAUCGCAAAUGCAGAAAUUGCACAGCUCAUUGUUCACCUCAUUAUUCAGUACAGUAUGGGUACACAUUGGCCAUUGCUUGCAGAAAGAGAAGAGAAGGGAUUUCCUUUCUCUAAGCCUGCAGCAGCUCGAGCCGGCGGAGGCGCUGGACCUCCUUGCCGAGGACGCUGCAUCGCACCAUGCUGCCGGCGGUGCGCCACAGCAGCUGGAGGUCGGCCCACGGCUCGCCGGGCGCCAUCCGCUUGUGCAGGUAGCAGUCGAACGUCCGGCGCUGCACGUGCUCGUCCGCGCACAUCUCCACCAGCGCCUCGCGCCCGGCGUUGUCGCCGUAGAACACACGCUGCAGCAGGUCCAGGAACCGGAACGUCAGCAGGAACUCGUCGUCCCACCGCCGCAGGUACCCGCGCCUGAUCCCGCCCUCCGUCACCGCGCCCGUCAGCCGCCACUCCUUGGCCAUCGCCUGCCCGCACAGCCGCCCGGACUUGGCCGCGAAGUAGAUGCCCUCGCCGGAGCACCGGGUCACGUACCCCGCCGCGUCGCCGACCAGGGCCACGCGCCCCACCACGCGCCGCGGCCGCGGGUGCUCCGGGAUCGGGUGCGCCUCCACCUUGAUCACGCGCCCCCCGGCGAUCUUGGGCCCCGCCCGCGCCCGGAUGCCCGACUGCAGCUUCUUGAUCUCCGGCUUGGCGGCCACGGUGCCGGUCCCGACGGCCACGUGGUCGCACUUGGGGAACACCCAGCCGUAGAAGUCCGGGGACACGUCCCCGCCCACGUACAUCUCCGCGAGGUCGUCGUAGUACUCCAUGGCCUUGUCGGGGAGCCGGAUGCGCUCCUGGAAGGCGAUGGCCGUCGAGUAGUCGCCCGCGCCGACCUCCCGGGCGACCCGGCUGUUCGCGCCGUCCGCGCCCACGACGGCGUCGACCUCAAGGACGCUCCGAGUGGGUGA
rnacentral:rRNA from 1 species